UAUCCGUUGGUGAACCAGCGGAGGGAUCAUUACCGAGUGCAAACCCAUAACCCUUUGUGCACCUAUAUCUGUUGCUUCGGCGGCUCGCUCUCGGGCGACCCCGCCGGUAAUAUCAGUAUCUCUGUUUGACCCCGACCAUACUUCUGACUGUUCUUAGCGAACAGUUAAAACUUUUAACAACGGAUCUCUUGGCUCUA
rnacentral:misc_RNA from 1 species